ACACACUCAGGGAGUGCACCAUGUGAAGACUGGACUUAAACAGCUACACCACCAGAAGCCGAGAGAGAGGCUGGAACAUAGCCUUCCCUUUGGAGCCCUAGCAGAUGCUAAUCCAGCGUGCGUCCUGGCAGAGGUUGAAGGGGGCUCCUCAAGUCCCAGGUCCAGCUUGGUGUGGUUCAGCUACUCGAGAGACAUCUGCUGCUAAUGGAUGAGCAGUCAACCUGGACGCAGGAAAUCAUUUUUUAUUUGGAAUAACUGGGAGAUGAAACAGGAAGCUCUAUGACACACUUGAUCGAAUAUGACAGACACUGAAAAUCACGACUCAUCCCCCUCCAGCACCUCUACCUGUUGCCCGCCGAUCACAGCCGGAAUGCAGCUGAAAGAUUCCCUGGGGCCUGGUUCCAACUGCCCACUGUGGACUCUGAGGCCUCUGCAUUUGCGGGUGGUCUGCCUGUGAUAUUUUGGUCAUGGGCUGGUCUGGUCGGUUUCCCAUUUGUCUGGCCAGUCUCUGUGUGUCUUAAUCCCUUGUCCUUCAUUAAAAGCAAAAC
rnacentral:lncRNA from 10 species